rnacentral:lncRNA from 1 species
GUGUUUGUAUUGUGUCUGUGCAGUCCAUGUGUUAGUAGUGUAUGCUUGUGUUGUGUGUGUUUCACAUGUGAACUGUAGUGUAUGCAUGUGCUGUGUGUGCAUUGUGAUUGUGAAUUGUAUGUAUGCGGUUUGUCUGUGCGGUGCAGUGUGUGUGGGGUGUGUGUGUUUGUAGUAUAUGUUUGUACGUUGUAGGUUUUUGUAGUGUAUGGGUGUAGUGUGUGUGUUUGGUGUGUUUGUGGUUACUGUAUGUGUAUGGUUUGUGUGUUUGGUUAGUUUGUGUUUACUGUAUGUGUGUGUAGUGUAUUUUUGUAGUGUAUGUUUGUUGUGUAUGUGUGCAGUGUGUGUGUGUAAUGUAUGUAUGCGUAGUGUUUGUUUGCGUUGUGCUUGUUUGUAUUGUAUUUGUGCAGUCAUGUGAUGGUAUUGUAUAUGUGGGGUGUGUGUGUUUGACGUGUCUCGUGUAGUGUAUAUGUAUGGUGUGUGUGUGCAGUGUGUUUCUGUAUUGUAUGUAUGCGGUGUGUAUGUGCGGUGUGUGUGUGUGGUUUGUGUUUGCGAUGUGUGUUUUUAGUGUGUGUGUGUGUGCGGUGUACGUUUUUGUAAAGUAUGUGUGUAGUGUGUGUUUGUAGUGUAUGUUAGUGUGUAUUUGGGCGGUGUGUGUGUGAAGUGUGUUUUAGAAUUGUUAGUAGUGUAGGUGUGUGGUAUGUGUGUUUGACAUGUGCAGUGUAGUGUAUUUGCGUGGUGUGUGUGUUCAGUUGUUUCUGAAUUGUAUGUAUGCGGUGUUUGUUAGCGGUGUGUGUGUGCAGUGUGUGUCUGCGGGAUGUGUUUGUAGCAUGUUUGUGCGCUGUAGGUUUUUGUAUUGUAUGUGUGUAGUGUGUGUGUUUGGUGUGUUUGUGUUUGCUGGAUGUGUGUAGUGUAUGUGUGUGGUGUAUGUGUGCAGUGUGUGUGCGUUGUGUGUAGUGUACUUUAUGUCUGUGGUGUGUGUGCCGUGUAUGUGUUUGUAGUGUAUGUAUGUGUUGUUUGCGUUUGGUGAGUUUGUGUUUACUGUAUGUGUGUGAUGUGUGUGUAGUGUAUGCUUGUUGUGUAUAUUUGUUGUGUAUGUGUGCGGUGUGUGUGUGUAGUGUAUGUUAGUGUGUAUUUGUGCGGUAUGUGUGUGAAGUGUGUUUUAGAAUUGUAUGUAUGCGGUGUGUGUGAGCGGUGUGUGUGUGCCUUGUGUUGGGUGUGUGUGUGUUUGUAGUAUGUGUGUGUGUGGUGUAGGUUUUUGAAGUGUAUGUGUGUAGUGUGUGUGUUUGACGUGUGUAGUGUAGUGUAUGUGUAUGGUGUGUGUGCAGAGUGUUUCUGUAUUGUAUUAUGCGGUGUGUAUGUGCGGUGUGUGUGUGCGGUGUGUGUGUGAGGUAUGUGUGUUUGUAUUUUGUCUGUGCAGUCCAUGUGUUAGUAGUGUAUGCUUGUGUUGUGUGUGUUUCACAUGUGUACUGUAGUGUAUGUAUGUGCUGUGUGUGCAUUGUGAUUGUGAAUUGUAUGUAUGCGGUGUGUCUGUGCGGUGCAGUGUGUGUGGGGUGUGUGUGUUUGUAGUAUAUGUUUGUCCGGUGUAGGUUUUUGUAGUGUAUGUGUGUAGUGUGGUGUAUGUGUGUGGUGUGUGUGCGGUGUAUGUGUUUGUAGUGUAUGUAUGUGUUGUUUGUGUUUGGUGAGUUUGUGUUUACUGUAUGUGUGUGGUAUUUGUGUAGUGUAUGUUUGUUGUCUAUGUUUGUGGUGUAUGUGUGUGGUGUGUGUGUAUGACGUGUGUAGUAUAGUGUAUGUGUGUGGUGUGGUGUGCAGUGUGCUUGUGUAUUGUAUGUAUGCGGUGUUUGUGUGCAGUGUGUGUGUGGUGUGUGUGAUUGUAGUAUGUGUGUGCACGGUGUAUGUGUUUGUACUGUAUGUGUGUCUUGUGUUUGUUUGGUGUGUUUGUUUUUAUUGUACUGUGUGGUGUGUGUGUGGUGUAUGUGUGGUGUGUACGUGUGCAGUGUGUUCGUGGAGUGAAUGUAUGCGGUGUGGGUGUGCGGUAUGUGUGGGUGGUGUAGAUGUUAGUAGUGUGCGUGUGCGGUGUAUGUGUUUAUAGUGUAUGUGUGAGUUGUGUGUUUGGUGUGUUUGUCUGUGUGUGUGUUGUGUGUGUGUGUGGUGUGUGUUUAGUGUGUUUGUCUCUAUGUGUGCUGUGUGUGUGUGGUGUGUGUGUUUGGUGUGUGUAAUAUAGUGUAUGUGUGUGGUGUGUAUGUGUGUAGUGUGUGUGGUGUAUGUGUGCAGUGCGUUUGUGUAGUUUCUGUAUGCUGUGUGUGUUUGAGGCUUGUGUGUGCGGUGUGUAUGUUUGUAGUGUGUUCUGCGUUGUAUAUGUGUAUAGUGUACGUGUGUAUGUAUGUAUGUAUGCGUUAAGUGUGUGUGCGAUGUGCGUGUUUGUAUUGUGUGUGUGUGUGUGUAGUCAAUGUAUGCGGUGUGUGUGGGGGGGUAUCUGUUUGCGGUGUGUAUAUUUGUACUGUGUGUGUGCGUUUUCUAUGUUUAUACUGUGUGUGGUGUGUGUGGUGUGUUUGGUUUUGUAGUAUUGUGAGGUGUGUAUGUGUGCUGUGUUUCUGCAGUGUAUGUGUUUGUUGUUGUAUAUGUGUUGUGUGUUAUUUGGUAUGUGUGUGUAAUGUGUGUGUGUUAGGUGUGUGUAGUGUAAUGUAUGUGUGUGGUGUGUGUGGUGUAUGUGUUUGUAGUGUAUAUGUGUGUUGUGUGUGUUUGGUGAGUUUGGUGUGUGUGAGUAGAGUCUUUUUAUAGUGUAUAUUUGUGGUGAAUGUGUGAGGUGUAUGUGUUUGUUGUAUGUGUGUGGUGUGUUAUUUGUUAUGUGUGUGUAGCGUGUGUGUUUUGUGUGUGUUUGGUGUGUGUAGUGUAAUGUAUGUGUGUGGUGUGUGUGUGCAGUGUGUGUUUGUAGUGUAUGUUUGUUGUGUAUGUGUACAGUGUGUUGUGUGUGUUUGGUGAGUUUGUGUUUCCUGUUAGUGUGGUGUAUAUUGUAGUGUAUGUUAGUUUUGUAUGUGUGCAUUGUGCGGAGUGUUUCUGUGCGUUUUGUGCGUGUUUGUGUUGUAUGUGUGCAGUCCAUGUGAUGGUAUUGUAUGUGUGUGGUGUAUGUGUUUGACGUGUGUAGUGUAGUGUAGUGUAUGUGUAUGGUGUGUGUGUGCAGUGUGUUUCUGUAUUGUAUGUAAGCGGUGUGUAUGUGCGGUGUGUGUGUGCGGUGUGUGUUUUUAGUGUGUGUGGGUGCGGUGUAGGUUUUUGUAGAAUAUUGUGUAGUGUGUGUGUGUGUAGUUUAUAUUUGUAGUGUAUGUUUGUGGUGUAUUUGUGCGGUGUGUGUGUGUUUUGUGUAUGUAUGCGGUGUGUGUGAAUUUGCGGUAUGUGUUUGUAUUGUGUGUGUGCUGACCAUGUAUUAGUAGUGUAGGUGUGUGGUGUGUGUGUUUGACAUGUGCAGUGUAGUGUAUUUGCGAGGUGUGUGUGUGCAGUUGUUUCUGAAUUGUAUGUAUGCGGUGUUUGUGACCGGUGUGUGUGUGCAGUGUGUGUCUGAGGGGUGUGUUUGUAGCAUGUUUGUGCGCUGUAGGUUUUUGUAUUGUAUGUGUGUAGUGUGUGUGUUUGGUGUGUUUGUGUUUGCUGGAUGUGUGUAGUAUAUGUGUGUGGUGUGUGUGUGCAGUGUGUGUGUGCGGUGUGUGUAGUGUAGUGUAUGUGUGUGGUGUGUGUGCCGUGUAUGUGUUUGUAGUGUAUGUGUGUUUUGUUUGCGUUUGGUGAGUUUGUGUUUACUGUAUGUGUGUGAUGUGUGUGUAGUGUAUGCUUGUUGUGUAUGUUUGUUGUGUAUGUGUGCGGUGUGUGUGUGUUUUGUAUGUAUGCGGUGUGUGUGUGAGGUAUGCGUGUUUGUAUUGUGUCUGUGCAGUCCAUGUGUUAGUAGUGUAUGCUUGUGUUGUGUGUGUUUCACAUGUGUACUCUAUUGUAUGUAUGUGCUGUGUGUGCAUUGUGAUUGUGAAUUGUAUGUAUGCGGUGUGUCAGUGCGGUGCAGUGUGUGUGGGGUGUGUGUGUUUGUAGUAUAUGUGUGUGCGGUGUAGGUUUUUGUAGUGUAUGUGUGUAGUGUGUGUGUUUGGUGUGUUUGUGGUUACUGUAUGUGUGUGGUGUGUGUGUUUGGUUAGUUUGUGUUUACUGUAUGUGUGUGUAGUGUAUUUUUGUAGUGUAUGUUUGUUGUGUAUGUGUGCAGUGUGUGUGUGUAAUGUAUGUAUGUGGAGUGUUUGUGUGCGUUGUGCGUGUUUGUAUUGUAUUUGUGCAGUCAUGGGAUGGUAUUGUAUAUGUGGGGUGUGUGUGUUUGACGUGUCUCGUGUAGUGUAUAUGUAUGGUGUGUGUGUGCAGUGUGUUUCUGUAUUGUAUGUAUGCGGUGUGUAUGUGCGGUGUGUGUGUGCGGUGUGUGUUUGCGAUGUGUGUUUUUAGUGUGUGUUUGUGUGUGCGGUGUAGGUUUUUGUAAAGUAUGUGUGUAGUGUGUGUGUGUAGUGUAUGUUAGUGUGUAUUUGUGCGGUAUGUGUGUGAAGUGUGUUUUAGAAUUGUAUGUAUGCGGUGUGUGUGAGCAGUGUGUGUUUGCCUUGUGUUGGGUGUGUGUGUGUUUGUAGUAUGUGUGUGUGUGGUGUAGGUUUUUGAAGUGUAUGUGUGUAGUAUGUGUGUUUGAUGUGUGUAGUGUAGUGUAUGUGUAUGGUGUGUUUGCAGAGUGUUUCUGUAUUGUAUUAUGCGGUGUGUGUGUGCGGUGUGUGUGUGCGGUGUGUGUGUGCGGUGUGUGUGUGCGGUGUGUGUUUUUAAUGUGUGUGUUUGCGGUGUAGGUUUUUUUAGAGUAUGUGAGUAGUGUGUUUGUUUAGUGUGUGUGUAGUGUAUGUUUGUGGUGUAUUUACUCAGUGUGUGUGUGCAGUGCAUUUGUGAAUUGUAUGUAUGCGGUGUGUGUGAGCGGUGUGUGUGAAGUGUGUGUGUGCGGUGUGUGUUUGUAGUAUGUGUGUGCGGUGUAGGUUUUUGUUGUCUAUGUGUGUAGUGUGUGUGUUUGGUGUGUUUGUGUUUGCUGGUUGUGUGUGUUGGGUAUGUGUGUGGUGUGUGUGUGCAGAUGUGUGCAGUGUGUAUAGUGUAGUGUAUUGUGUGGUGUGUGUGCGGUGUAUGUGUUUGUAGAGUAUGUGUGUGUUGUUUGUGUUUGGUGAGUUUGUGUUUACUGUAGGUGUGGUGUUUGUGUAGUGUAUGUUUGAUGUGUAUGUUUGUGGUGUAUCUGUGCCGUGUGAGUGUGUGUUCUGUGUAUGUAUGUGUUUGAGUGUGUGAGGUAUGCUUGCUUGUAUUGUGUCUGUGCAGUCCAUGUGUUAAUAGUGUAUGUGUGUGGUGUGUGUGUAUGAUGUAUGUAGUAUAGUGUAUGUGUGUGGUGUGUGUGUGCAGUGUGCUUUUGUAUUGUAUGUAUGCGGUGUUUGUGUGCAGUGUGUGUGCGGUGUGUUUGAUUGUAGUAUGUGUGUGUACGGUAUGUGUGUGUUGUGUUUGUUUGGUGUGUUUGUAUUUACUGUAUGUGUGUGGUGUGUGUGUGGUGUAUGUGUUGGGUGUAUUGUGCAGUGUGUUUGUGGAGUGAAUGUAUGCGGUGUGUGGGUGCGGUAUGUGUGUGCGGUGUGGAUGUUUGUAGUGUGUCUGUGCGGUGUAUAUUUUAUAAUGUAUAUGUGAGGUGUGUGUUUGGUGUGUUUGUCUUUACUGUAUGUGUGUUGUGUGUGUGUGGUGUGUUUAAUAUAGAGUAUGUGUGUGGUCUCUGUGUGUAGUCUAUGUGUGCAGUGCGUUUCUGUAGUUUAUGUAUGCUGUGUGUGUGUGCGGUAAGUGUGUGCGGUGUGUAUGUUCGUCGUGUGUUGUGCUUUGUAUAUGUGUAUAGUGUAUGCGUUAUGUGUGUGUGCGAUGUGCGUGUUUGUAUUGUGUGUGCAUUCCAUGUGAUGGUAGUGUAUGUGUGUGGUGUUUGCGUUUGACGUGUGUAGUGUAGUGUAUGUGUGUGGUGUGUGUGCCGUGUAUGUGUUUGUAGUGUAUGUGUGUGUUGUUUGCGUUUGGUGAGUUUGUGUUUACUGUAUGUGUGUGAUGUGUGUGUAGUGUAUGCUUGUUGUGUAUGUUUGUUGUGUAUGUGUGCGGUGUGUGUGUGUUUUGUAUGUAUGCGGUGUGUGUGUGAGGUAUGCGUGUUUGUAUUGUGUCUGUGCAGUCCAUGUGUUAGUAGAGUAUGCUUGUGUUGUGUGUGUUUCACAUGUGUACUGUAGUGUAUGUAUGUGCUGUGUGUGCAUUGUGAUUGUGAAUUGUAUGUAUGCGGUGUGUCAGUGCGGUGCAGUGUGUGUGGGGUGUGUGUGUUUGUAGUAUAUAUGUGUGCGGUGUAGGUUUUUGUAGUGUAUGUGUGUAGUGUGUGUGUUUGGUGUGUUUGUGGUUACUGUAUGUGUGUGGUGUGUGUUUGGUUAGUUUGUGUUUACUGUAUGUGUGUGUAGUGUAUUUUUGUAGUGUAUGUUUGUUGUUUAUGUGUGCAGUGUGUGUGUGUAAUGUAUGUAUGCGGAGUGUUUGUGUGCGUUGUGCGUGUUUGUAUUGUAUUUGUGCAGUCAUGUGAUGGUAUUGUAUAUGUGGGCUGUGUGUGUUUGACGUGUCUCGUGUAGUGUAUAUGUAUGGUGUGUGUGUGCAGUGUGUUUCUGUAUUGUAUGUAUGCGGCGUGUAUGUGCGGUGUGUGUGUGUGGUGUGUGUUUGCGAUGUGUGUUUUUAGUGUGUGUGUGUGUGCGGUGUAGGUUUUUGUUGUGUAUGUGUGUAGUGUGUGUGUUUGGUGUGUUUGUGUUUGCUGGAUGUGUGUGUUGUGUAUGUGUGUGGUGUGUGUGUGCAGUGUGUGUGUGCGGUGUGUGUAGUGUAGUGUAUGUGUGUGGUGUGUGUGCCGUGUAUGUGUUUGUAGUGUAUGUGUGUGUUGUUUGCGUUUGGUGAGUUUGUGUUUACUGUAUGUGUGUGAUGUGUGUGUAGUGUAUGCUUGUUGUGUAUGUUUGUUUUGUAUGUGUGUGGUGUGUGUGUGUAGUGUAUGUCAGUGUGUAUUUGUGCGGUGUGUGUGUGAAGUGUGUUUUAGAAUUGUAUGUAUGCGGUGUGUGUGAGCGGUGUGUGUGUGCCUUGUGUUGGGGGUGUGUGUGUUUGUAGUAUGUGUGUGUGUGGUGUAGGUUUUUGAAGUGUAUGUGUGUAGUGUGUGUGUUUGACGAGUGUAGUGUACUGUAUGUGUAUGGUGUGUGUGCAGAGUGUUUCUGUAUUGUAUUAUGCGGUGUGUGUGUGCGGUGUGUGUGUGCGGUGUGUGUUUUUAAUGUGUGUGUUUGCGGUGUAGGUUUUUGUAGAGUAUGUGAGUAGUGUGUUUGUUUAAUGUGUGUGUAGUGUAUGUUUUUGGUGUAUUUAUUCGGUGUGUGUGUGCAGUGCAUUUGUGAAUUGUAUGUAUGCGGUGUGUGUGAGCGGUGUGUGUGAAGUGUGUGUGUGUGGUGUGUAUGUUUGUAGUGUGUUGUGCGUUGUAUAUGUGUAUAAUGUAUGUGUGUUGUUGGUGUGUGUAGUGUAUGUAUGCGUUAAGUGUGUGUGCGAUGUGCGUGUUUGUAUUGUGUGUGCAUUCCAUGUGAUGGUAGUGUAUGUGUGUGGUGUUUGCGUUUGACGUGUUUAGUGUAGUGUAUGUGUGUGGUGUGUGUUUGCAACGUGUUUCUGUAUUGUAUGUAUGCAGUGUCUGUGUGCGUUGUUUGUGUGCGGUGUUUGUGUUUGUAGUGUGUGUGUUUGCGGUGUAGGUUUUUGGAGUGUAUGUGUGUAGUGAGUGUGUUUGGUGUGUUUUUUGAUGUAUGUUUGUGCAGUGUGAGAAGUGUAAGUUUAUGAAGCAUGCGUUGUGUGUGUGUUUGCUUGUGUGCGGUGUGUGUGUGUAGUGCAUGUGUGAGGUGUAUGUUUGCAGUGUGUUUGUUUAGUCAAUGUAUGCGGUGUGUGUGUGGCGGGAGUCUGUUUGCGGUGUGUAUAUUUGUACUGUGUGUUUGCGAUUUCGAUGUUUAUAAAGUAAGUGUGUGGUGUGUGUGUUUGGUGUGUUUGGGUUUAUUGUAUGUGUGAGGUGUGUGUGUGUGCUGUGUUUUUGCGGUGUAUGUGUUUAUUGUUGUAUGUGUGUGGUGUGUUAUUUGGUAUGUGUGUGUGUGUUGUGUGUGUUUGGUGUGUGUAGUGUAAUGUAUGUGUGUGGUGUGUGUGGUGUUUGUGUUUGUAGUGUAUAUGUGUGUUGUGUGUGUUUGGUGAGUUUGAUUUUACUCUAUGUUUGUGAGUAGUGUCUUUUUGUAGUGUAUGUUUGUGGUGUAUGUGUGCGGAGUAUGUUUGUUGUUGUAUGUGUGUGGUGUGUUAUUUGUUAUGUGUGUGUAGCGUGUGAGUUCUGUGUGUGUUUGGUGUGUGUAGUGUAAUGUAUGUGUGUGGUGUGUGUGUGCAGUGUGUGUGUUUGUAAUGUAUGUAUGUUUGUUGUGUAUGUGUACAGUGUGUUGUGUGUGUUUGGUGAGAUUGGGUUUCCUGUUUGUGUGGUGUAUUUUGUAGUGUAUGUUUGUUUUGUAUGUGUGCAGUGUGCGGAGUGUUUGUGUGCGUUUUGUGCGUGUUUGUAUUGUAUGUGUGCAGUCCAUGUGAUGGUAUUGUAUGUGUGUGGUGUAUGUGUUUGUCAUGUGUAGUGUCGUGUAUGUGUAUGGUGUGUGUGUGCAAUGUGUUUCUGUAUUGUAUGUAAGCCUUGUGUAUGUGCGGUGUGUGUGUGCGUUGUGUGUUUUUAGUGUGUGUGGGUGCGGUGUAGGUUUUUGUAGAGUAUUGUGUAGUGUGUGUGUGUAGUGUAUGUUUUUAGUGUAUGUUUGUGGUGUAUUUGUGCGGUGUGUGUGUGAGGUAUGCGUGUUUGUAUUGUGUCUGUGCAGUCCAUGUGUUAGUUGUGUAUGUUUGUUGUGUAUGUGUUUGACAUGUGUACUGUAGUGUAUGUGUGUGCUGUGUGUGUGCAUUGUGAGUGUGAAUUGUAUGCAUGCGGUGUGUCUGUGCGGUGCAGUGUGUCUGGGGUGUGUGUGUUUGUAGUAUAUGUGUGUGCGGUGUAGGUUUUUGUAGUGUAUGUGUGUAGUGUGUGUGUUUGGUGUGUUCGUGGUUACUGUAUGUGUGUGGCGUGUGUGUUUGGUGUGUUUGUGUUUGCUGGAUGUAUGUGGUGUAUGUGUGGUGUGUGUGUGCAGUGUGUGUGUGCGGUGUGUAUAGUGUGGUGUAUGUGUGUGGUGUGUGUGCGGUGUAUGUGUUUGCAGUGUAUGUGUGUGUUGUUUGUGUUUGGUGAGUUUGUGUUUAUCGUAUGUGUGUGGUAUUUGUCUAGUGUAUGUUUGUUGUGUAUGUUUGUGGUGUAUGUGUGUGGUGUGUGUGUAUGACGUGUGUAAUAUAGUAUAUGUGUGUGGUGUGUGUGCAGUGUGUGUGCGGUGUGUGUGAUUGUAGUAUGUGUGUGCACUGUUUAUGUGUUUGUACUGUAUGUGUGUUUUGUGUUUGUUUGGUGUGUUUGUUUUUACUGUAUGUGUGUGGUGUGUGUGUGGUGUGUGUGGGGGGUGUAUGUGUGCAGUGUGUUUGUGGAGUGAAUGUAUGCGUUGUGGGUGUGUGGUAUGUGUGGGCGGUGUAGAUGUUUGUAGUGUGCGUGUGCGGUGUAUGUGUUUAUAGUGUAUGUGUGUGGUGUGUGUUUGGUGUGUUUGUGGGUGUGUUGUGUGUGUGUGUGUGUGGUGUGUGUUUGGUGGGUUUGUCUCUAUGUGUGCUGUGUGUGUGUGUGGUGUGUGUGUUUGGUGUGUGUAAUAUAGUGUAUGUGUGUGGUGUGUAUGUGUGUAGUGUGUGUGGUGUAUGUGUGCAGUGCGUUUGUGUAGUUUCUGUAUGCUGUGUGUGUGUGAGGCUUGUGUGUGCAGUGUGUAUGUUUGUAGUGUGUUGUGCGUUGUAUAUGUGUAGUGUAUGUGUGUUGUGUGUGUGUAGUGGAUGUAUGCGUUAAGUGUGUGUGCGAUGUGCGUGUUUGUAUUUUGUGUGUGCAUUCCAUGUGAUGGUAGUGUAUGUGUGUGGUGUGUGUGUGCAACGUGUUUCUGUAUUGUAUGUAUUCAGUGUGUGUGUGCGUUGUUUGUGUGCGGUGUCUGGGUUUGUAGUGUGUGUGUUUGCGGUGUAGCUUUUUGUAGUGUAUGUGUGUAGUGCGUGUGUUUGGUGUGGUUUUUUAUGUAUGUUUGUGCUGUGUGAGAAGUGUAAGUUUAUAAAGCAUGCGUUGUGUGUGUGCUUUUCUUGCGUGCGAAGACACAGUAGUGCAUGUGUGAGGUGUAUGUGUGCAGUGUGUGUGUAGUCAAUGUAUGCGGUGUGUGUGUGGUUAUCUGUUUGCGGUGUGUAUAUUUGUACUGUGUGUGUGCGAUUUCGAUGUUUAUACUGUGUGUGGUGUGUGUGGUGUGUUUGGUUUUAUAGUAUGUGUGAGGUGUGUAUGUGUGCUGUGUUUUUGCGGUGUAUGUGAUUGUUUUUGUAUGUGUGUUGUGUGUUAUUUGGUAUGUGUGUGUAAUAUGUGUGUGUUGUGUUUGUUUGGUGCGUGUAGUGUAAUGUAUGUGUGUGGUGUGUGUGGUGUAUGUGUUUGUAGUGUAUAUGUGUGUUGUGUGUGUUUGGUGAGUUUGAGUUUACUCUAUGUGUGUGAGGAGUGUCUUUUUGUAGUGUAUGUUUGUGGUGUAUGUGUGAGGUGUAUGUGUUUGUUGUAUGUGUGUGGUGUGUUAUUUGUUAUGUUGUGUAGCGUGUGUGUUUUGUGUGUGUUUGGUGUGUAUAGUGUAAUGUAUGUGUGUGUUGUGUGUAUGCAGUGUGUGUGUUUGUAGUGUAUGUUUGUUGUGUAUGUGUACAGUGUGUUGUGUGUGUUUGGUGAGUUUGUGUUUCCUGUUAGUGUGGUGUAUUUUGUAGUGUAUGUUUGUUUUGUAUGUAUGCAGUGUGCGGAGUGUUUCUGUGCGUUUUGUGCGCGUUUUAUUGUAUGUGUGCAGUCCAUGUGAUGGUAUUGUAUGUGUGUGGUGUAUGUGUUUGACGUGUGUAGUGUAGUGUGUGUAUGGUGUGUGUGUGCAAUAUGUUUCUGUAUUGUAUGUAAGUGGUGUGUAUGUGCGGUGUGUGUGUGCGGUGUGUGGUUUUAGUGUGUGGGUGCGGGGUAGGUUUUUGUAGAGUAUUGUGUAGUGUGUGUGUGUAGUGUAUGUUUGUAGUGUAUGUUUGUGGUGUAUUUGUGCGGUGUGUGUGUUUUGUGUAUGUAUGCGGUGUGUGUGUAUUUGCGGUGUGUGUGUUUGUAUUGUGUGUGUGCAGACCAUGUAUUAGUAGUGUAGGUGUGUGGUGUGUGUGUUUGACAUGUGUAGUGUAGUGUAUUUGCGUGGUGUGUGUGUGCAGUUGUUUCUGAAUUGUAUGUAUGCGGUGUUUGUGAGCGGUGUGUGUGUGCAGUGUGUGUCUGCGGGGUGUGUUUGUAGCAUGUUUUUGCGCUGUAGGUUUUUGUAGUGUAUGUGUGUAGUGUGUGUGUUUGGUGUGUUUGUGUUUGCUGGAUGUGUGUAGUGUAUGUGUGUGGUGUUUGUGUGCAGUGUGUAUGUGAGGUGUGUGUAGUGUAGUGUAUGUGUGUGGUGUGUGUGCCGUGUAUGUGUUUGUAGUGGAUGUGUGUGUUGUUUGUGUUUGGUGAGUUUGUGUUUACUGUAUGUGUGUGAUGUGUGUGUAGUGUAUGCUUGUUGUGUAUGUUUGUUGUGUAUGUGUGCGGUGUGUGUGAGGUAUGCGUGUUUGUAUUGUAUCUGCGCAGUCCAUGUGUUAGUAGUGUAUGCUUGUGGUGUGUGUGUUUGACAUGUGUCUGUAGUGUAUGUGUGUGCUGUGUGUGCAUUGUGAUUGUGAAUUGUAUGUAUGCGGUGUGUCUGUGCGGUGCAGUGUGUGUGGGAUGUGUGUUUGUAGUAUAUAUGUGUGCGGUGUAGGUUUUUGUAGUGUAUGUGUGUAGUGUGUGUGUUUGGUGUGUUUGUGGUUACUGUAUGUGUGUGGUGUGUGUGUUUGGUUAGUUUGUGUUUACUGUAUGUGUGUGUAGUGUAUUUUUGUAGUGUAUGUUUGUUGUGUAUGUGUGCAGUGUGUGUGUGUAAUGUAUGUAUGCGGAGGGUUUGUGUGCAUUGUGCGUGUUUGUAUUGUAUGUGUGCAGUCAUGUGAUGGUAUUGUAUAUGUGGGGUGUGUGUGUUUGACGUGUCUAGUGUAGUGUAUAUGUAUGGUUUGUGUGUGCAGUGUGUUUCUGUAUUGUAUGUAUGCUGUGUGUAUGUGCGGUGUGUGUGCGGUGUGAGUGUGUGCGAUGUGUGUUUUUAGUGUGUGUGUGUGCGGUGUAGGUUUUUGUAAAGUAUGUGUGUAGAGUGUGUGUGUAGUGUAUGUUAGUGUGUAUUUGUGCUGUGUGUGUGAAGUGUGUUUUUGAAUUGUCUGUAUGCGGUUUGUGUGAGCAGUGUGUGUGUGCCUUGUGUUGGGGGUGUGUGUGUUUGUAGUAUGUGUGUGUGUGGUGUAGGUUUUUGAAGUGUAUUGUGUAGUGUGUGUGUUUGACUUGUGUAGUGUAGUGUAUGUGUAUGGUGUGUGUGCAGAGUGUUUCUGUAUUGUAUUAUGCGGUGUGUAUGUGCGGUGUGUGUGUGCGGUGUGUGUGUGCGGUGUGUGUUUUUCAUGUGUGUGUGUGCGGUGUAGGUUUUUGUAGAGUAUGUGAGUAGUGUGUUUGUUUAGUGUGUGUGUAUUGUAUGUUUGUGGUGUAUUCAUUCGGUGUGUGUGUGCAGUGCAUUUGUGAAUUGUAUGUAUGUGGUGUGUGUGAGCGGUGUGUGUGUGAAGUGUGUGUGUGCGGUGUGUUUGUGUUUGCUGGAUGUGUGUGUUGUGUAUGUGUGUGGUGUGUGUGCAGAUGUGUGCAGUGUGUAUAGUGUAGUGUAUGUGUGUGGUGUGUGUGCGGUGUAUGUGUUUGUAGUGUAUGUGUGUGUUGUUUGUGUUUGGUGAGUUUGUGUUUACUGUAUGUGUGUGUUGUUUGUGUAGUGUAUGUUUGAUGUGUAUGUUUGUGGUGUAUCUGUGCCGUGUGAGUGUGUGUUCUGUUUAUGUAUGUGUUUGAGUGUGUGAGGUAUGCUUGCUUGUAUUGUGUCUGUGCAGUCCAUGUGUUAAUAGUGUAUGUGUGUGGUGUGUGUGUAUGAAGUGUGUAGUAUAGUGUAUGUGUGUGGUGUGUGUGUGCAGUGUGCUUGUGUAUUGUAUGUAUGCGGUGUUUGUGUGCAGUGUGUGUGCGGUGUGUUUGAUUGUAGUAUGUGUGUGUACGGUAUGUGUGUGUUGUGUUUGUUUGGUGUGUUUGUGUUUACUGUAUGUGUGUGGUGUGUGUGUGGUGUAUGUGUUGGGUGUAUUGUGCAGUGUGUUUGUGGAGUGAAUGUAUGCGGUGUGUGGGUGCGGUAUGUGUGUGCAGUGUGGAUAUUUGUAGUGUGCCUGUGCGGUGUAUGUGUUUAUAGUGUAUAUGUGUGGUGUAUUUUUGGUGUUUUUGUCUUUACUGUAUGUGUGUUGUGUGUGUGUGGUGUGUUUAAUAUAGUGUAUGUUUGUGGUCUGUGUGUGUCGUGUAUGUGUGCAGUGCGUUUCUGUAGUUUAUGUAUGCUGUGUGUGUGUGCGGUAUGUGUGUGCGGUGUGUAUGUUGGUAGUGUGUUGUGCGGUGUAUAUGUGUAUAGUGUAUGUGUAUUGUGUGUGUGUGUAGUGUAUGUAUGCAUUAUGUGUGUGUGCGAUGUGCGUGUUUGUAUUGUGUGUGCAUUCCAUUUGAUGGUAGUGUAUGUGUGUGGUGUGUGCGUUUGACGUGUGUAGUGUAGUGUAUGUGUGUGGUGUGAGUGUGUGCAACGUGUUUCUGUAUUGUAUGUAUGCAGUGUGUGUGUGCGUUGUUUGUGUGCGGUGUCUGGGGAUGUAGUGCGUGUGUUUGUGGUGUAGGUUUUUGUAGUGUAUGUGUGUAGUGCGUGUGUUUGGUGUGUUUUUUGAUGUAUGUGUAUGUGUGUGCUGUGUGUGUGCAUUGUGAUUGUGAAUUGUAUGUAUGCGGUGUGUCUGUGCGGUGCAGUGUGUGUGGUGUGAGUGUGUGCAACGUGUUUCUGUAUUGUAUGUAUGCAGUGUGUGUGUGCGUUGUUUGUGUGCGGUGUCUGGGGAUGUAGUGCGUGUGUUUGUGGUGUAGGUUUUUGUAGUGUAUGUGUGUAGUGCGUGUGUUUGGUGUGUUUUUUGAUGUAUGUGUAUGUGUGUGCUGUGUGUGUGCAUUGUGAUUGUGAAUUGUAUGUAUGCGGUGUGUCUGUGCGGUGCAGUGUGUGUGGGGUGUGUGUGUUUGUAGUAUAUGUGUGUGCAGUGUACGUUUUUGUAGUGUAUGUGUGUAGUGUGUGUGUUUGGUGUGUUUGUGGUUACUGUAUUUGCGUGGUGUGUGUGUUUGUUGUGUUUGUGUUUGCUGGAUGUGUGUGGUGUAUGUGUGGUGUGUGUGUGCAGUGUGUGUGUGAGGUGUGUGUAGUGUGGUGUAUGUGUGUGGUGUGUGUGCGGUGUAUGUGUUUGUAGUGUAUGUGUGUGUUGUUUGUGUUUGGUGAGUUUGUGUUUAUCGUAUGUGUGUGGUAUUUGUCUAGUGUAUGUUUGUUGUGUAUGUUUGUGGUGUAUGUGUGUGGUGUGUGUGUAUGACGUGUGUAGUAUAGUAUAUGUGUUUGGUGUGUGUGUUUGGUGUGUUUGUGUUUGCUGGAUGUGUCUGGUGUAUGUGUGUAGUGUCUGUUUGCAGUGUGUGUGUGUGCGGUGUGUGUAGUGUUGUAUAUGUGUGUGGUGUGUGUGCCGUGUAUGUGUUUGUAGUGUAUGUGGGUGUUGUUUGUGUUUGGUGAGUUUGUGCUUACUGUAUGUGUGUGGUAUUUGUGUAGUGUAUGUUUGUUGUGUAUGUUUGUGGUGUAUUGUGUGGUGUGUGUGUAUGACGUGUGUAGUGUAGUGUAUGUGUGUGGUGUAUGUGUGCAGUGUGCUUGUGUAUUGUAUGUAUGCGGUGUUUGUGUGCAGUGUGCGUGCGGUGUGUGUGAUUGUAGUAUGUGUGUGUACGGUGUAUGUGUUUGUACUGUAUGUGUGUUUUGUGUUUGUUUGGUGUGUUUGUGUUUACUGUAUGUGUGUGGUGUGUGUGUGGUGUAUGUGUGGGGUGUAUGUGUGCAGUUCGUUUGUGUAGUUUCUGUAUGCUGUGUGUGUGUUAGGUAUGCAGUGUGGGUUUGCCGUAUGUGAGUGUGGUGUAGAUGUUUGUAGUGUGCGUGUGCGGUGUAUGUGUUUAUAGUGUAUGUGUGAGGUAUGUGUUUGGUGUGUUUGUGUGUGUGUUGUGUGUGUCUGUGUGUUGUGUGUGUGGUGUGUGUGUUUGGUGUGUGUAAUAUAGUGUAUGUGUGUGGUGUGUAUGUGUGUGGUGUAUGUGUGCAGUUCGUUUGUGUAGUUUCUGUAUGCUGUGUGUGUGUGUGUGAGGUAUGUGUGUGCAGUAUGUAUGUUUGUUGUGUGUUGUGUGGUGUAUAUGUGUAUAGUGUAUGUGUAUCAUGUGUGUGUGUGUGUAGUGUAUGUAUGCGUUAUAUGUGUGUGCGAUGUGCGUGUUUGUAUUGUGUGUGUGCAUUCCAUGUGAUGGUAGUGUAUGUGUGUGGUGUGUGUGUUUGACGUGUGUAGUGUAGUGUAUGUAUACAGUGUGUGUGUGCGUUGUUUGUGUGCGGUGUCUGUUUGUUGUGUGUGUUUGUGGUGUAGAUUUUUGUAGUGUAUGUGUGUAGUGCGUGUAUUUGGAGUGUUUUUUGAUGUAUGUUUGUGCAGUGUGAGAAGUGUAAGUUUAUAAAGCAUGCGUUGUGUGUGUGCUUUGCUUGUGUGCGGUGUGUGUGUGUAGUGCAUGUGUGAGGUGUAUGUGUGCAGUGUGUGUGUGUAGUCAAUGUAUGCGAUGUCUGUGUGGGGGGUAUCUGUUUGCGGUGUGUAUAUUUGUACUGUGUGUGUGCUAUUUCUAUGUUUAUACUGUGUGUGGUGUGUUUGUUUGGUGUGUUUGGGUUUAUUGUAUGUGUGAGGUGUGUGUGUGUGUGUGUGUUGUGUUUUUGCGGUGUAUGUGUUUGUUGUAUGUGUGUGGUGUGUUAUUUGGUAUGUGUGUGUAAUGUGUGUGUGUUGUGUGUGUUUGGUGUGUGUAGUGUAAUGUAUGUGUGUGGUGUGUGUGGUGUAUGUGUUUGUAGUGUAUAUGUGUGUUGUGUGUGUUUGGUGAGUUUGAUUUUACUCUAUGUGUGUGAGUAGUGUCUUUUUGUAGUGUAUGUUUGUGGUGUAUGUGUGCGGAGUAUGUGUUUGUUGUUGUAUGUGUGUGGUGUGUUAUUUGUUAUGUGUGUGUAGCGUGUGUGUUUUGUGUGUGUUUGGUGUGUGUAGUGUAAUGUAUGUGUGUGGUGUGUGUGUGCAGUGUGUGUGUUUGUAGUGUAUGUUUGUUGUGUAUGUGUACAGUGUGUUGUGUGUGUUUGGUGAGUUUGUGUUUCCUGUUUGUGUGGUGUAUUUUGUAGUGUAUGUUUGUUUUGUAUGUGUGCAGUGUGCGGAGUGUUUGUGUGCGUUUUGUGCGUGUUUGUAUUGUAUGUGUGCAGUCCAUGUGAUGGUAUUGUAUGUGUGUGGUGUAUGUGUUUGACGUGUGUAGUGUAGUGUAUGUGUAUGGUGUGUGUGUGCAGUGUGUUUCUGUAUUGUAUGUAAGCGGUGUGUAUGUGCGGUGUGUGUGUGCGGUGUGUGUUUUUAGUGUGAGUGGGUGCUGUGUAGGUUUUUGUAGAGUAUUGUGUUGUGUGUGUGUAUAGUGCAUGUUUGUGGUGUAUUUGUGCAGUGUGUGUGUUUUGUGUAUGUAUGCUGUGUGUGUGUAUUUGCGGUGUGUGUUUGUAUUGUGUGUGUGCUGACCAUGUAUUAGUAGUGUAGGUGUGUGUUGUGUGUGUUUGACAUGUGUAGUGUAGUGUAUUUGCGUGGUGUGUGUGUGCAGUUGUUUCUGAAUUGUAUGUAUGCUGUGUUUGUGAGCGGUGUGUGUUUGCAGUGUGUGUCUGCGGGGUGUGUUUGUAGCAUGUUUGUGCGCUGUAGGUUAUUGUAUUGUAUGUGUGUAGUGUAUGUGUUUGGUGUGUUUGUGUUUGCUGGAUGUGUGUAGUGUAUGUGUGUGGUGUGUGUGCGGUGUAUGUGUUUGUAGUGUAUGUGUGUGUUGUUUGCGUUUGGUGAGUUUGUGUUUACUGAAUGUGUGUGAUGUGUGUGUAGUUUAUGUUUGUUGUGUAUGUGUGCAGUGUGUGUGUGUUGUGUAUGUAUGCGGUGUGUGUGUGUGAGGUAUGCGUGUUUGUAUUGUGUCUGUGCAGUCCAUGUGUUAGUGGCGUAUGUGUGUGGUGUGUGUGUUUGACAUGUGUAGUGUAGUGUAUGUGUGUGGUGUGUGUGCAGUGUAUUUGUGAACUGUAUGUAUGUGGUGUGUGUAUGUGCGGUGCAUUGUGUGUGGGGGUGUGUGUGUGUGUGUGUGUGUGUGUGUCUGUAGUAUAUGUGUGUGCGGUGUAGGUUUUUGUAGUGUAUGUGUAUAGUGUGUGUGUUUGGUGUUUGUGUUUACUGUAUGUGUGUGGUGUGUGUGUUUGGUGUGUUUGUGUUUGCUGGAUGUGUCUGGUGUAUGUGUGUGGUGUGUGUGUCGUGUAUGUGUUUGUAGUGUAUGUGUGAGGAAUAGAGGAGGGCAUGUAAGGAGAUGCCUUGACAGACGGAGACAGUACAGGUUUGGAGAGAGGGCUGGCACAGGGGAAAAGUUAGUGAAUCCACUGGGAUGACCCCAACUAAGAAUUUAGGCAGUGGUGGAGAGUUUGCGUUUGGUGCGUUUGUGUUUACUGUAUUGUGUGAUGUGUGUGUAGUGUAUGUUUGUUGUGUAUGUUUGUUGUGUAUGUGUGCGGUGUGUGUGUGUUUUGUAUGUAUGCGGUGGGUGUGUGAGGUAUGCGUGUUUGUAUUGUGUCUGUGCAGUCCAUGUGUUAGUAGUGUAUGUUUGCGGUAUGUGUGUUUGACAUGUGUACUGUAGUUUAUGUGUGUGCUGUGUGUGUGCAUUGUGAUUGUGAAUUGUAUGUAUGCGGUGUGUCUGUGCGGUGCAGUGUGUGUGGGGUGUGUGUGUGCAGUGUGCUUGUGUAUUGUAUGUAUGCGGUGUUUGUGUGCAGUGUGUGUGCGGUGUGUGUGAUUGUAGUAUGUGUGUGCACGGUGUAUGUGUUUGUACUGUAUGUGUGUUUUGUGUUUGGUGUGUUUGUGUUUACUGUAUGUGUGUGGUGUGUGUGUGGUGUAUGUGUGGGGUGUAUGUGUGCAGUGUGUUUGUGGAGUGAAUGUAUGUGGUGUCGGUGUGCGGUAUGUGUGUGCGGUGUAGAUGUUUGUAGUGUGCGUGUGCGGUGUAUGUGUUUAUAGUGUAUGUGUGAGGUUUGUUUUUGGUGUGUUUGUGUGUGUGUUGUGUGUGUGUGUGGUGUGUGUUUGGUGUGUUUGUUUGUAUGUGUGCUGUGUGUGUGUGUGGUGUGUGUGUUUGGUGUGUGUAAUAUAGUGUCUGUGUGUGGUGUGUAUGUGUGUGGGUUAGGUUAAGAGUUAAGACUAAAUUUUGUCUACCAUCUAAAGAUUGUACCUAGGUUGCUUCUGAUACUGGAGGAAUGUUAUACUGGCUAUUCCAUUGCUAUAAAAGUACAAGACCUCAGAGAUUUAUAGCUAUGUUUUCUACAUAUGGUUUCAGCCUUCCUUUCUGUCCUUUCGGUCCAAUGCAAACCACCCAAUUAACACUCUACCAAAAUCUAGAUAAAGUUCCAAUUCCUCAAUGUUGUACAUUCACCUCGCU